rnacentral:rRNA from 1 species
GACGAACGCUGGCGGUGUGCUUAACACAUGCAAGUGGUGCGACGAACCAGGCUUCGGCCUGGGGCAAAGCCGCGAACGGGUGAGUAACACGUGGGUAAUCUGCCCCGAUGACCGGGACAACCCGAGGAAACUCGGGCUAAUACCGGAUGUGGUGCCCAGACUUAAGUCUGGUCACUAAAGGUAGCUUCGGCUUCCGCAUUGGGAGGGGCCCGCGGCCCAUUAGCUUGUUGGUGGGGUCAAGGCCUACCAAGGCAACGAUGGGUAGCUGGUCUGAGAGGACGAUCAGCCACACUGGGACUGAGACACGGCCCAGACUCCUACGGGAGGCAGCAGUGGGGAAUCUUGCGCAAUGCGCGAAAGCGUGACGCAGCAACACCGCGUGAGGGAAGACGGCCUUAGGGUUGUAAACCUCUUUCAGAUGGGACGAAGGUCAUCCGGUGAAUAGCCGAGGUGAUUGACGGUACCGUCAGAAGAAGCUCCGGCUAACUACGUG